UAGAGUUUGAUCCUGGCUCAGAUUGAACGCUGGCGGCAGGCCUAACACAUGCAAGUCGAACGGUAACAUUUCUAGCUUGCUAGAAGAUGACGAGUGGCGGACGGGUGAGUAAUGCUUGGGAACUUGCCUUUGCGAGGGGGAUAACAGUUGGAAACGACUGCUAAUACCGCAUAAUGUCUUCGGACCAAACGGGGCUUCGGCUCCGGCGCAAAGAGAGGCCCAAGUGAGAUUAGCUAGUUGGUAAGGUAACGGCUUACCAAGGCGACGAUCUCUAGCUGUUCUGAGAGGAAGAUCAGCCACACUGGGACUGAGACACGGCCCAGACUCCUACGGGAGGCAGCAGUGGGGAAUAUUGCACAAUGGGGGAAACCCUGAUGCAGCCAUGCCGCGUGUGUGAAGAAGGCCUUCGGGUUGUAAAGCACUUUCAGUUGUGAGGAAAAGUUAGUAG
rnacentral:rRNA from 1 species